GGCACGUUGGUCUAGAGGAAUGAUUUUCGCUUUGGGUGCGAGAGGUCCCGGGUUCGAAUCCCGGACGUGCCC
rnacentral:tRNA from 1 species